GGAUUAGAUACCCUGGUAGUCCACGCCCUAAACGAUGAGUGCUAGGUGUGGGAUUUUUUCUGUGCCGUAGCUAACGCGUUAAGCACUCCGCCUGAGGAGUACGGUCGCAAGACUAAAACUCAAACGGAAUUGACGGGGACCCGCACAAGCGGUGGAGCAUCUGGUUUAAUUCGAUGAUAACCGACAAACCUUACCAACUCUUGACAUCAUAGCUUAAGCGACACUAGAGAUAGUGCGUGUGGAGCAAUCCUAUCUAUGACAGGUGGUGCAUGGCUGUCGUCAGCUCGUGCCG
rnacentral:rRNA from 1 species